UGUCGUGCGCUUAUUAAUUGUAUUUAAGUAUUACAAUAGUAUGGGCGCGUAUAUAAUCAUAAUUGUUUUGCGAGUGCGCGCUUAUUAAUUAUAAUGAAUUAUUUUCACUAGAGAGUGUGCCACGAAGAAAAUAUAGCAACAGUGAAAUAAGAAAGGAGGAGAUAGUCCGAAUGAAGUGGCAUCAAUCGAAGGUUUAACAUGAGAUUAACGUUAUGCUGACAACAUCGACAAAUUGAUGAGAGAUAGAGUUGAGAAAAAAAAAUCGAGCGCCGACAACGCAACCUUAACUCAAUGUGUAGCUUGUAGUCAAAUGUUGUGCAUCGAUUGGUGAGCAAUAAAUUAUUAUUACGAGGUAAUGGUUUCGUAGAUUUAGAGUGUGAAAAUGUAGAUAUAGAUUGUGUAGAUUGUAGACUGUAGAUUGUAGAUAGUUUUUCCGUUACCUCAAAAUGGGGAUGGAUUACAAAUUACAAUAUU